ACAGCGUCAGACUCAAACCCGGGUCCCAGCGCCACACCCACAGUCGGAUAUUUUUCCACUCGACACCCACACGUCCCCAUUAGAAUCAGCAGCAGUUCACUCUACGCAGUUAACACGGCUCAGCAUUUAGCAACGAGAAAUCAAAUCAAGCCGGAGCAGGUCGAGUGCGUUUUGAACCAUUUUGAACUGAAAUACACGACCAUAGCCGACACGUGUCCGAUUUUUCCCGACUGCAAUCUCAAGACAUUCAAUUCGCCGUUUCGAACGAUUACGGGCAUUUGCAACAACAUCAUCCACCUGGCCACGCCCCCUGGGGUGUGCCGAGAACCCAAUACCAACGGGCUCUCGCCCCGAAUUACGCAGACGGUAUCUGGAUGCCUCGACGAGCUACAAAUGGUGGCGAACUUCCUCAUCCCCGUCAAAUUAGUGAUUCGCGACGUCGCGCGUCAUGCAGUACGGCCAGUUUAUCGAUCCCGACAUGCUGGAAACCAUGGAAUCUAAAACUGGUAUUGUAUUACAUAUUGUAUUAUUGGGCAAUAUAUGGCGGAAACUGUUGGUCCGAGUCUAAUAAAUAUUUGGUUGUUGAUUUGUUGUUGAAGCCGACGGAGCGUCAGUGCCUUGUUGCACGGACGAUGCCCGAUGGUCAAUUUCUUGACGAGGGCGACCUUAGUCACGGCAAGUGCAUUCCCAUCGAAAUUCCCCAGGACGACCCGCUUUACUCCUUGUUUCGCCAACGUUGCAUGCAAUUCGCCCGUUCCGCUACCGCGUGCAGAACCGACGGACGCCUCGGCCAUGUUGAGCAGUUCACUUUUGAUUGCAGAUGAAUCAAAACACCCACUAUCUGGAUCAUUCUGGCCUUUACGGCUCCGACCAUCAACUGGCCGGUGAGCUGAGGACGUUCGAAAAAGGCGCCCUCAAGAUAUUUGUCCGUCCUCGCUAAGGUUGCCACCACGACAUGGACUUGCAUCCACCCGACAACGAAACGGAUGUCGAUUGCGCCUUGUCUAAGGCCAUGACCGGAGUCAAUCCGCCUCCUGAAAUCAAAUGCUUCAAAGCAGGCGACGACCGAAUCAUAGUCACUCCCUACAUGGUCGCCUCGCAAACUGUUUUCCUGCG